rnacentral:rRNA from 1 species
UACGGAGGAUCCAAGCGUUAUUCGGAAUCAUUGGGUUUAAAGGGUCCGUAGGCGGUUUAGUAAGUCAGUGGUGAAAGCCCAUCGCUCAACGGUGGAACGGCCAUUGAUACUGCUAGACUUGAAUUAUUAGGAAGUAACUAGAAUAUGUAGUGUAGCGGUGAAAUGCUUAGAGAUUACAUGGAAUACCAAUUGCGAAGGCAGGUUACUACUAAUGGAUUGACGCUGAUGGACGAAAGCGUGGGUAGCGAACAGG